GGAGAAUUCUGCGUGGCUGAACAAAGCUUACAUGGUUACAGAACUAAAUGCAAUGUAUACUACAGCAUAUAAGAAAAGGAUUUUUUUUUUUUUGGAAGUACUUCCUCUGUGUAUGGGAACUCUUAUGUCAGGCCUGAACUGGUGAUUGAGCACCUGGUAAAGGGAGUGGCUGGCCUAGGGAGCACAGGUGCAAACAAUUCACCUAUGCUUCCCACGUGACUGGAAUUGGGAGGACCAGGGUCCACCCCUCCCAGGGCUCAUUUAAGGGCUAGUCUCCCAUGAGAGAGGGUCUUCUGGCUGUGUGCUGUGUUUUGAAGGGGAAUGUUCAGUAGCUGGAGACCCUAUUUUCAGUUAGCACCAGGGGAUGCGGCGUCUGAAGCAGAGGAGUAAGGAGAAGCCCCAUGUCCAGGUACCAAGCCUGCUUUUUUAGCGCCCCACUUCCUAGCAGCGCCGAGAGUUCGUCCCCGCCGCGGUGCCUCUGGGAGUGGGAACGGGUGAGUUACGGGCAGAAGGACCCGGAGCAGGCAGGGUGCACUGCUGCUUGCGAACUUCUGAAGCAAACUCUCGGCUCUGUCUGGGAGUAAGCUCCUCUUGCAGCAGGCAUAGCUGUGUACCGUGAAGCGCCUUGACCACUCGCUCUUCAGCAUAAAGAAAUAAGGGCAGGUAGGGGGGGCUGAGCACAGCGUGCUGGGUGGCAAGUGCAGAUCUGGCUGCUUUUGGGGUCUGUUUAUAGGUAGGUAAAGAGUGAGAUGUAUUCACCAAAAAAUAUAUUGAUCUGUGCUUUGGUUACAAACUCUCGUCUUUAGCAAAGACUCUCCUCUGUAUCUGUGUCAAGGUGCUUUCUGACUUUGGGGCUAUUUUCCACUAUAAGGCAGCAAGCAGAGAGGAGAAUCAAGGAGCAGAUUGUGCUGCCUUGCUUUAGCAAAGAGAAGUGUGCAAGGCCAUCCUCCAUGCUUGCAUACAGAGAUGUAUGUUCUUUGGAAGGGCUCAUCUGUAUACCCCAGCAUUCUUGAAAAUGUUGUAAAUGAGCAGCGUUAUUUUCACAAACAAGCUCAGAGCAGUGAGUGCAUUGCUGCCCAGAUAAGGUCCAAAAAGCUCCUUCUGUACUCCUAGGCUAGCAGUGUGCAUAACACAGGGUGAAUCUUACCACCCCGCACUGCCUUUCCCCUCCUAACAAAGCAGGUGGACCACAGGCAGAACCCGGAGUAGGGAGAGUUUGUUUGAUUUCCAGUUUUGUGUUUGUUCUAGGCACCUUGGGAAGCAACCCAUUCCACCAGAAUCGGACCCAACUGCCAAAUGCCAUCAAUGGGCUCUGCAGCCCAGAGCCCUGAGCUGUGGCUGCAAGGGGAUGGGGUAGUGAUGAUGUCCUGGGGCUGCGAGCGGCCAGUGCCUGCAGGCUAAGUUGGUGGAGCUUUUAUUCAAAAUAAAAAUCAGGUGAAAUUUCCUUCUAUUGUCUAGCCAAAUUCUCUUUAAUUUGCCCCAAGGGAAAGUCACUUGCCUUGCAGUGCCUUUUUUACUUUUUUUUUGAGCUCGUCUCCGUCAACAUAAAUGCCUGGGGGUGCUCCCUGGGGGAUGAGUGGGGAAGCCGAAGGUCAGGGUUACCCACUGUGGCAUGACUUUUAAGCUAAAGGGGUUUUUAUUUCUCUUGUUUCCAUGUCAGGUUUCAUUUGGGCAGCAUUAUUCUGAAAGGGUGGGCCUGCUCUUGACAGGAGGGGGUUAAAUGGGAUUACAAGCUUUAGAGGCUGUCAGCAGCCACUGCUGCCUGGGGAUGUUAAAUUGCAAUUUAAUGGUCAGCUUUAUAUGUAUAGUAUCAGUGGAAAUCUGCUGUUUUCAGCAACUUAAUAGGAGCUGUGUUUUCAGGAGGGGACUGUUUUGGAGGGGGGGCGAGGAGUGGGUUUGCUGGCACUGGCAGCUCCUCCCGCCAGGCAGUGGCCGGGCACCAAGGGGCUCUUCCAGUGUGUCCCAACUUCCCCAAACCAGCUCCGUGCCUCAGGCAGGAAGAGAGCAAGCAGUCCUCACUGGAGCAUCGGAGAGUAGGGAGAGAGGGCAGGAAGGUGCUGAGGCGAAGAGGGCAUGAAGGCACUGAGGGGAUGAGGGCAAGAAGGCAAUGAUGGGGUUGCUCAUUGUGUAGGAUUGGCUCCAAAGGCCAGCCACCAGUCAAACUGCCAGUUGGGGGGGAUCUGUAGAUGCAUGUCUUAUGAGUAUCAGUGUGUGUAGAGGUGCUGUGAGGGGCAGAGGGGUAAAGCGUGCUGAGGGGCAGACAGCAAGGCCCCACCAGAGGGCAUCGGUAUUGUCUGUUGGCGAGUGAGGGGUCAGCCCGGAAUGUUCAGGAUUAGUAAAUUUAAUAUCCUGUCAAAAUUCUCAUGAUAAUGAGUGCUGGCUCGGCUGGCUGGUGGGGCUGGCACAGCAGCCUGGGCGCUGCAGCUCCCGAGAUAGCGCCGCUAAUUUAUGGGCAGGAGAUUGUGCUGUGCUGGCAUGGGCCGAGGCGAGAGCGGCUCGGCGGUGGGGCCUCUUGGCUGCGUGCAGCAGCUGCUAAGCUGGGGAAAAUACACAGAUCUGGAUCAUUUUAAGUGAUUCUUAUUCAUUCCAAAAUCCUCCUAACCCCCUGCAAUAGCUUGGCUGAAGUGACAGAGGUGGGCUGCGCUCGGCUUUUCCUCUCCCUCCACUGUGCUUACGAGAGUUCCUCUGCACUGAGGAUUUCUGGCUUUAAAAAUGACAAGAAAGAGGCAGAAAGAGGGAAGAGAGGCAAAACCAUGACUGACCGUGUGUGUUGCACUGUAGACUAAUUUUCGGGAGAGUUUCCUUUACCUUUCGGAGCUGGUAAGUUUAAAACAGCGAACUGGAGGGGAAGAUGGGGACAAAAGAAAGCACAGAGCAAACCAGUACGGUCAGAACAAAUAGUAAACUGUGACCCCAACACAGUAAUUUUUGAGCUGAUGGAUGAUAUUUAAAAUACAGUUCAUAACAGGAAAACAAAAAACAAAAAAGAUGGGGGGAGGAGGGCUGUAUAGGGGAAGAAAAAGAGGAGGGGAGAGAAAGUUCCUGUGCACUUUGUUCAAGGUUCUGCACCUCUCUAAGCAGCUGUCACAUCCGUACAUUAUGGUACAUUGAAUCUGAAUGAGGCUCUCCACAUCAAAACCUUGCAUCCAUUAUGAUAUCAUCUCCUGCUCUAAGCUGUAAUGCUUAUUAAUUCUGCACCCAUACUCUCCAAGCUUCAGCAAAUGUAUUCCAUCAGCCUAGCAUUUAAUUUAAUUAGUACAGCUGGGCUCUCAUUCUCCUUUCUGUGUCAGAGGUAUUGUCAGCACGUUCUGCUAUAACACAAUUACUGAUUGCUUUUAGAUAGGCAGAAAUAUGAUUAGGGUAUUGGGUGACUGUAUCAUAAGCCUUAUUAGAUUCAUUUGAAAUCUGGAGAUAAAUAGGAAACUUUUAUUUGCAGUGUAAUGAGAUUAUGCUUAUUAGGCCAAGGCCUCACAACCUUUUGCAAAGAACAUAGUGUAUCACUAGGAUUAUACUCUGGAACCACACUUUUUGCUCAUAGCAUCCAAGCAAUUUCUCAGCAGCUUUGAGAUUUAACUGUUGUAGCCCUGUAUGCAUUUUAGAAUUGUUUUUUGGCUUGGCAGCUCUCUCGUGUGAUAGAUGGUGCACACAUUCUGCUGUGUUUUCUUCUGCUUAAACCAGGAAAUUUUGGGGAAUGUGUUUUGUUCAAUGUGAAAGAUGUUUGUGUGCGCCACAGCCAUGUGUGAUUGAGUAAAUGCGCCAAUACACUGGACAGAAGAGUUUUUGCUAGUAUCAGUCUUUCAGUUCAGACUCUUUUUUUUCCUUCAGUAGAAAUCUGCAACAACAUUUCAUAAUCAACCGUUUUCAGAAGCUAAAAAAAUAU
ensembl:lncRNA